UACGAAGGGGGCUAGCGUUGUUCGGAAUUACUGGGCGUAAAGCGCGCGCAGGCGGUUCUCCAAGUCAGUGGUGAAAGCCCGGAGCUCAACUCCGGAACUGCCAUUGAAACUGUUGAACUUGAGGACGAGAGAGGUGAGUGGAAUUCCCAGUGUAGAGGUGAAAUUCGUAGAUAUUGGGAAGAACACCAGUGGCGAAGGCGGCUCACUGGCCCGGUACUGACGCUGAGGUGCGAAAGCGUGGGGAGCAAACAGG
rnacentral:rRNA from 1 species